UGAUCAAGUGAGUCAUGCCUGUGUCAAAGU
rnacentral:piRNA from 1 species